AGGCCCGGGAGCGGAGCCCAUGAGCAGCUCGGUGGCGGGGCCGGACUGCUGCGGAGGCUUCGGCAAUGUUGACUUUAGACAGGCAGACCUCUGCGUUAUGACCCGGCUGCUGGGCUACGUGGACCCCUCGGAUCCCUGCUUUGUGGCUGCCAUUCUCACCAUCACUUUCAACCCGCUCUUCUGGAAUGUGGUGGCGAGAUGGGAACAGAGAACCCGCAAGCUGAGCAAGGUCUUCCGAUCCCCCUACCUGGCCUGCUACUCCCUGGGUGCUGCCAUUUUGCUCCUGAACGUGCUGCGCUCGCACUGCUUCACGCAGGCCAUGCUGAGCCAGCCCAAGAUGGAAAGCCUGGAUAACCCCACGGCCUACCGCGUGGGCCUUGCGCUCCUGGGAAUAGGCAGCACAUUUGUGCUUUCCAGCUUCUUUGCACUGGGCUUCACCGGGACCUUCCUAGGCGAUUACUUCGGGAUCCUCAUGGAGGCAAGAGUGACCACAUUCCCAUUCAACAUCCUGGACAACCCCAUGUACUGGGGCAGCACGGCCAAUUACCUGGGCUGGGCCAUUAUGUGAGUAUCGGGCCUUCCUGCCCGCCCUCCCUGCCUCCUGAGGAAGACGGGCCAGCCUUCUGUCAUCUGUGGAGCCGAGGUGUUCCUUGGGACUUUCUUCUCCAUGGAAACAAACAACAUCCUAGAACACGGGUUAGCGAACUUUCUCUUGGAGGGCCGGAGAGGCGGGGCUCCCAGGCCAUAGGCAGAGCUCGGAUGCUCAAAAGCAGCCGCGAGCCAGUAGGCACGCCAGCCCCACCGGCCUGCUGCUGACUGUGGUUGUGGCCCUCAUCUACAUGGUCGCCAUCCAGUACGAGGA